rnacentral:rRNA from 1 species
UACACUCCUGCGGGAGGCAGCAGUGAGGAAUAUUGGACAAUGGGUGGAAGCCUGAUCCAGCCAUCCCGCGUGCAGGAAGACGGCCCUAUGGGUUGUAAACUGCUUUUAUCUGGGGAUAAACCUACUUACGUGUAAGUAGCUGAAGGUACCAGAAGAAUAAGCACCGGCUAACUCCGUGCCAGCAGCCGCGGUAAUACGGAGGGUGCAAGCGUUAUCCGGAUUUAUUGGGUUUAAAGGGUCCGUAGGCGGACUGAUAAGUCAGUGGUGAAAUCCGACAGCUUAACUGUCGAACUGCCAUUGAUACUGUUAGUCUUGAGUAAGGUUGAAGUGGCUGGAAUAAGUAGUGUAGCGGUGAAAUGCAUAGAUAUUACUUAGAACACCAAUUGCGAAGGCAGGUCACUAAGUCUUAACUGACGCUGAUGGACGAAAGCGUGGGGAGCGAACAGGAUUAGAAACCCUGGUAGUCCCAUG